UACAGAGGUCUCAAGCGUUGUUCGGAUUCAUUGGGCGUAAAGGGUGCGUAGGCGGCGCGGUAAGUCGGGUGUGAAAUCUUGGAGCUUAACUCCGAAACUGCAUUCGAUACUGCCGUGCUUGAGGACUGGAGAGGAGACUGGAAUUUACGGUGUAGCGGUGAAAUGCGUAGAUAUCGUAAGGAACACCCGUGGCGCAGGCGGCCCCCUGGGCCGCGCAUGACGCUGAGACGCGCAAGCGCGGGGAGCGAACGGG
rnacentral:rRNA from 1 species